rnacentral:rRNA from 1 species
GGGUCAGUAGGUUGGUCGUGCCACCGGUACGUACUGGUCUCACUGAUUCCUCCUUCCCGAAGAACCGUAAUGCCAUUAAUUUGGUGUUGCGGGGAAACAGGACUGUUACUUUGAAAAAAUUAGAGUGUUUAAAGCAAGCUAACGCUUGAAUACAUUAGCAUGGAAUAAUGAAAUAGGACGAUCGAUCCUAUUUUGUUGGUUUCCAGGAUUGACGUA